GUUGAUUUUGUCCAACAGCUUCUUGCUUUGGAAGGUGUCCUUCCUGGUGGAACACACUGCAAAGAGCACCUGACACACGACCACAGCACGGGGCCUGCUGAAGAGGGAGUUUUAUCACCUCAAACUCAUGGCCACUUGGUAUUUUCAAAAGCCAGCCAAGAGAAAGAUUUGCAGAGAGCUGUGCAGAAAACAUGCAGCCCAUUCAGCCUCUCGGUUUCACCUUUUGCUGGAACACAGAGGUACAAAUGACGCUUAAUGUACCAACGCUUUCUGACUGACUCCUCUCUACCCUGAAUACAAGAGACCCUAAUAGAUACGUGGAAAUAUCAUCGCCCCUGUUCAGCAUGAAGAAGUUACAGAAGACGGACCUUCAUCCUUCUGCAACCCUUAGAAUUAAGGGUCCUCUUGUAAAAGGGUGGGGGGGAUAGGUUAGAAGCAUUCAAACCAGAGUGACUCUGUUUCGAAUAUGGGCCAAGAAAAAUGAAGCUGGGCCCUGCUGGGCUGCAUUCCCAGGAGGUCAAGCAUUCCUAGCCUCCAGAUGUCAACAUUCAGGGA